rnacentral:misc_RNA from 1 species
GUAGGUGAACCUGCGGAAGGAUCAUUAACACGUAUCCAAACGUUAAACCCCCUGUGCAUCUUAAUCCUGCUCGCUUUCGCCUUGACAAAGCAAUCUCUGGUAAAUCAUUGCCCAAACCUCUUUCGAAACACGAAUCCAUGGAGCGGCAGAUCAAUAGGCUUGGCUUCCAACGGAGGGAGGAUAACUUGGUAACAUCCAAGGUCGUUGGCUUACACGGUCAACGGACAAGUCUCUGGGCGUAAAGCCCCAG